rnacentral:lncRNA from 1 species
ACUCUCGAAAUACACGGCUGAAGGAACAAGGAGCUUUACCGGAGGCUCGCCGGAGUUCGAAGUUCGCCACAUCGGAGGUUCACAACGGAACAGUAUAGCGUUCGCGUUCGGAUAACCGCUCUCGUUUUGUUUGUUCCUUUGGAUUUCUUUACUCGUGCGCUACCUUACAAGAAAUCGCAACGCAAGCAAUUUGAACGUGUUAAUCGCAAUGCCCUUGAGUCUUGGGGUUGUUAGACGAAGUUAUCAAGAAAACAAGCUAGGAUGGCUUUAGAAACCCAUUUCAGCAAUUAAACAAUGCUUGAAUUUAUGUUUACUAUUUGAAACGAUGUAUCACUCUUUAGUUUUAAUAAAAUGGUUUAAUCUAUAUUGUC